GUGCACACGUUGGCAGCACGUAUAGUAAUAUUGGAAUGAUAUGAAGAUUAGCAUGGCCCAUGUGAAGGGAUGACAUGCAAUUUUGUGAAGUCUUCCAUAUUAAA
ensembl:snRNA Gm24668 U6 spliceosomal RNA